rnacentral:rRNA from 1 species
AUUGAACGCUGGCGGCAGGCCUAACACAUGCAAGUCGAGCGGAGCGGCGGACGGGUGAGUAAUGCCUAGGAAUCUGCCUGGUAUUGGGGGAUAACGUCCGGAAACGGGCGCUAAUACCGCAUAAUUACAGAUGAGCCUAGGUCGGAUUAGCUAGUUGGUGGGGUAAAGGCCUACCAAGGCGACGAACCUUAACUGGUCUGAGCGGAUGAUCAGUCACACUGGAACUGAGACACGGGCCAGACUCCUGCGGGAGGCAGCAAUUGGGAAUAUUGGAGAAUGGGCGAAAGCCUGAUCCAGCCAUGCCGCGUGUGGUAAGAAAUUCUUCGGAUGGUAAAGCACUUUUAGUUGGGAAACGUUACCAACAGAAUAAACACCGGCUAACUUCGUGCCAGCAGCCGCGGUAAUAC